UAGGGAAUCUUCCGCAAUGGACGAAAGUCUGACGGAGCAACGCCGCGUGAGUGAUGAAGGUUUUCGGAUCGUAAAACUCUGUUGUUAGGGAAGAACAAGUACCGGAGUAACUGCCGGCACCUUGACGGUACCUAACCAGAAAGCCACGGCUAACUACGUGCCAGCAGCCGCGGUAAUACGUAGGUGGCAAGCGUUGUCCGGAAUUAUUGGGCGUAAAGCGCGCGCAGGUGGUUCCUUAAGUCUGAUGUGAAAGCCCACGGCUCAACCGUGGAGGGUCAUUGGAAACUGGGGAACUUGAGUGCAGAAGAGGAAAGUGGAAUUCCAAGUGUAGCGGUGAAAUGCGUAGAGAUUUGGAGGAGCACCAGUGGCGAAGGCGACGUUCUGGCCUGUAACUGACACUGAGGCGCGAAAGCGUGGGGAGCGAACAGG
rnacentral:rRNA from 1 species